AGCCUUGCACAGUGGCAGUAUCGUAGCCAAUGAGGUUUAUCCAAGGCGUGAUUAUUGCUAAUUAAAAACUUUUCCCAAUACCCCACGGUGACAACUUGAAAUAUAGUCGGCAUUGGCAAUUUUUGACAGUCUCUAUGGAGA
rnacentral:snRNA from 1 species